ACCCUGUGGAGUCCUGCUUUACAAAUCUUAUCUUCCUUAGCCCACCCGAAUCUGAAAAGCAUAGAACACAGUUACACUUGCCAUAAGUCCGGACUUGUCAUAUCGAGUUAAUCAAGUUUCAUAUCUUAUUUGGGAUCCGCGGUGGCACACAGAAUCAAAUAGGAACUGUGGACGUUACAAGUGAGAAACGUACGGAGGUUUAAGGAAGAGACUGAAAGCGCAGGAAAAGAUCUACUUGAAAACGUGUUUGUGGAGACUUAGAGCAUGGAAAUGCUCAAUCUGGGUGGCUGGGACUAAUUCUGUUGGCAAUCUCAACUGUAGCUGAAGUUCUUGCCUUGAGAUAGCCCUCUGCUGGCUUCAGAAAUGAACUCAAGUAUAUAGAAGUCAAAAGGGACCCUAAGAUCAUUGUGGAUGACAUGAAUGAGUAUGGCUGCUGUUGAAUAUAAUGUAUUUUAUAGUGUACAAGUUUCUUUCCUUUCUUAAUAUAGGUCACAUAUGGUAGUUAGUUCAACCUAGCCUUGUAUAUGUAUUUCUCUAUUGUAAGAAGUUAAGAAUAUGAAUGAGAAUUAAGGUUUUUUUUUUCUCUCUCUUUCAACAUGGUAUCAGAGUCAAGGGAGAAAACUUUAUUCUUUCUGGUUUACCCGUGUAAUUAAUUCCGGGAAUCCGUUCAGUGACCAUGUUUCAUUCCAGUCACCUUUUCCAUCUCCCAAAGUUUUCCGGUUAGCCAUAUCAUGGUCAGAAAACCCUCAUCACCGUCAACAUUUUUCCGGCGACUUUUUUCCAGUGGUAAUUUCCGACACCGACCACAUCAUCAGGAGCGCAAAGAGGAGAUCUGUAACUUUUCUCAAAGCACCGAAGCCAAAAAACCACCCACGCGCCUCCCACACGCCACUCUUCUCCGACGGCCUGAAUCCCACGCGCCGGCGUGUGGCCCACUUUCCGGUGCCGAGCUUCUUCCAGCAGGCUCGUCCCACGCCGUCUUGCACGUCUAAGCCUCUGUCAGUCCUCUCCGAACCCUGCUUCUCCAUUUUUUUUGGCAUUUCAGCUUCCGCGGGUCUUCUUUCAGCCUCCGAUGGUAGCUCCCUUCCUUGGCCAAGACUUGUGUGUGCCUUGGGAAGGCCUCUUCUUCAUCCCCAGUCACUUUUCUCCUUUGUUUGGGUCCCGACAUACCAGGUUCUUCUUCCACCGCUGUGAUCCGACCUCCCUUUAGGGCUCUCUUUGAUCCAAACGUGAUUCAAUCUCAGGUGAAGUGGAUAUGGCGACUAAAAAUCCCAUUUUUACAUCCGUCAUCUCUGGAUCUCCUACUAUCACAUCGGAAAAAUUGAUUGGUAGUGAGAAUUAUCUCUCCUGGUCAGCGUCCGUGGAACUCUGGUUUAUGGGACAAGGUUAUGAAGAUCAUCUUGUUACACCUGAGGAUGCUAUACCUGAUGUUGACAAAGUGCAAUGGAAGAAGAUCGAUGCACAAUUAUGCAGUGUAUUAUGGCAAUCUGUUGAUCCCAAAAUUUUCCAUCAUCUUCGUGCCUACAAAACCUAUUUUAAAUUUUGGACUCAGGCUAAAGGAUUAUACACGAAUGAUAUUCAACGAUUUUAUAAGGUGGUUUCUGAUACUGUUCCUGUGAGACAGCAGGACAUGGAUCUGUCUACUUAUAUUGGCCGGAUUGCGUCUCUUAAGAAGGAGUUCUUAACUUUGAUUCCCUUCACUAAUGGCGCUGAAGCUCAACAAAUACAAACUAAUAAGUUCUUUAUGGUGUUAACCCUCAUUGGCCUCCGUCCAGAUCUUGAGUCUGUCCGAGAUCAGAUUCUUGCUAGUCCAUCAGUACCAUCUUUAGAUGAUGUGUUCGCUCGUCUCUUACGCCUCUCCUAUACUCAGACCUUGUCGACUGAUGGUCCUUCAGAUUUAUCUGUGUUAGCCUCUCAGAUUAACUCUCGAGGAGGACGUAGUGGCAAUCGAGGACAACGUCCUCAGUGCACCUAUUGUAAUAAGCUUGGUCGCACUCGAGAUCGUUGCUAUCAAUUACAUGGACGGCCUCCUCGCAUUGCCCACAUUGCUCAGUCAUUUGAUCCUCUGCUAUCUCGACCUGACUCCGCUGCGAGCUCCACAUCUCAGAGUAUCACCCUUACUGGUAGUGAUUAUGAUGCCUAUCUCCGAUAUCAGGCAGCUACAUCAGCUUCUGUUGCCAGACCGAUAAUGUCUUAGUUUGCUUUACUCAGUCUCCUUCUCUUGGCCCGUGGAUUCUAGAUUCUGGAGCAUCUGAUCAUAUUUCUGGACUGGAGUACGGGGAAGACGAUUGGCAUAGGGCGUGAGUCUCAAGGCCUCUAUCACCUCACAUCACCUUCAUCUCCUGCAGCUUGUAUUUCCAUCGAUGCUCCUCUUCUCAUUCACAGUCGUUUGGGUCAUCCUAGUCUCUCCAAGUUCCAGAAGAUGGUCCCUCGUUUUUCCACUUUGUCGUCGCUUGCGUGUGAGUCGUGUCAGCUUGGGAAACAUACUCGUGUCUCGUUCCCAAAGCGUUUGAAUAAUCGGAAAUGGGAAUAAUGCUAUCUUACCAGAACAUUGUACAGGUUUCUUGUUCUGCAGAAGAGUUCCCUUCGCAAAAGUGCUUUUAG